rnacentral:rRNA from 1 species
GAUGAACGCUGGCGGCGUGCCUAAUACAUGCAAGUCUAGCGAACGGACGAUAAGCUUGCUUCUCUGAUGUUAGCGGCGGACGGGUGAGUAACACGUUGAUAACCUACCUAUAAGACUGGGAUAACUUCGGGAAACCGGAUCUAAUACCGGAUGAUAUUUUUAACCGCAUGUUUCAAAAGUGAAAGACGGUCUUGCUGUCACUUAUAUAUGUAUCCGCGCUGCAUUAGCUAGUUGGUAAGGUAACGGCUUACCAAGGCAACGAUGCAUAGCCGACCUGAGAGGGUGAUCGGCCACACUGGAACUGAGACACGGUCCAGACUCCUACGGGAGGCAGCAGUAGGGAAUCUUCCGCAAUGGGCGAAAGCCUGACGGAGCAACGCCGCGUGAGUGAUGAAGGUCUUCGGAUCGUAAAACUCUGUUAUUAGGGAAGAAAAUAUGUGAAAGUAACGGUGCACAGCUUGACGGUACCUAAUCAGAAAGCCACGGCUAACUACGUG